AAGCUGGAGUGGCAGAGGGAAUUUCCGGGGGCGGUGAAAUGCAUUGAGAUCGGAAAGAACAACAACGGCGAAAGCACUCUGCUGGGCCGACACUGACACUGAGAGACGAAAGCUAGGGGAGCAAAUGGGAUUAGAGACCCCAGUAGUCCUAGCCGUAAACGAUGGAUACUAGGUGCUGUGCGACUCGACCCGUGCAGUGCUGUAGCUAACGCGUUAAGUAUCCC
rfam:Hordeum vulgare subsp. vulgare, WGS project CAJW01000000 data, contig: morex_contig_904970